rnacentral:sRNA from 1 species
GGUGACGCAGGCGUAAUAAUAGAGAAGGUGCCAGAAAGAUCCAAAACAAGUGGCUGCGGCCGUCGCCCGGGAGUCACCGGACGCCAGAAUCUGUGUCUCCAGAACGCUAUAGCUAUGGCACCUCCAGCUCUUCAAAGAGGACAGAGGGUAGCUGCCGUCGCCGUCGGCAGUCAAGCAGUUCUGCAAAUUCUCAGCAGGGUCAGUGGGAGACAGGCUCCGCCCCAACCAAGCGGCAGCGACGGAGUCGGGGCCGGCCCAGUGGUGGUGCGAGACGGCGGCGGAGAGGGGCCCCAGCCGCACCCCAGCAGCAGCCAGAGCCCGCCAGACCUUCCUCUGAAGGCAAAGUGACCUGUGGCUGUACAAGAAGUAUGGUGCCAGCUUCUGCUUCUGUUGAGGACCUCCGGAAGCUUCCAUUCGUGGUGGAAGGCUAAGGGGAGCAGGCUUGUCACAUGACAUCCGGCUCCGGGUUCGAGCAGAGUACUGCGAGCAUGGGCCAGCCUUGGAGCAGGGCGUGGCAUCCCGGCGGCCCCAGGCGCUGGCGCGGCAGCUGGACGUGUUUGGGCAGGCCACCGCAGUGCUGCGCUCAAGGGACCUGGGCUCCGUGGUUUGUGACAUCAAGUUCUCAGAGCUCUCCUAUCUGGACGCCUUCUGGGGCGACUACCUGAGUGGCGCCCUGCUGCAGGCCCUGCGGGGCGUGUUCCUGACUGAGGCCCUG